AGCGUCCGUGUGUGUGCGUGCGCGUGCGUGCGCGUGCGCCUGGCUUGGUCAUAGCCCCGUGACGGUCCUGAACUGCGAUGCCAAUGGUCGUAUUCCCUAGGAGAGCAAUUGCAGCAGAGAAGCCAGCUCUGGAGGCUUCAGCAGAAAGCAAAAUGCAGCGGCAGUCAAGGCAAUGCCAUUCUGGGGAGAUUCUAGAAAAAUCCCAGUCAAGUUUCUAAGAUCCUUCUUCCUUCAUCUCCCUUCUCUUCUGUCAGAACGUUUGAAUCCAGAUAAAGAGGAGACAAGGGAAAGAAUCUCUCUUUCAUCCCUCCUGAGAAAUGCCUGCAUACUCUGGAACUGGAGCCAGGGCAGUAUUCUGGUCUCUACUGCAGCGGGGUGUACUUUUUCAUUUUUAAUUCUCUGAGAAGAUGGGAAGAAUCUGAAUGAGAAAUUCACAAUAUGGUAAGAUGAAAUUAAGCCACAAUGAUAUCAGCAAUGCUUUGUGUCAUCACUAGGGUUAGCC
rnacentral:lncRNA from 1 species